rnacentral:rRNA from 1 species
GGCCAUGCAUGUCUCAGUACAAGCCGCAUUAAGGCGAAACCGCGAAUGGCUCAUUAAAUCAGUUAUGGUUCCUUAGAUCUUACACUUUUUACAUGGAUAACUGUGGUAAUUCUAGAGCUAAUACAUGAAACUAGUACCCCGACUUUACGGAAGGGGUGCUUUUAUUAGAACAAAACCAAUCGGUCGGCUCGUCCGUCCGUUGCCUUGGUGACUCUGAAUAACUUUGGGCUGAUCGCACGGUCCUAGCACCGGCGACGCAUCUUUCAAAUGUCUGCCUUAUCAACUGUCGAUGGUAGGUUCUGCGCCUACCAUGGUUGUAACGGGUGACGGGGAAUCAGGGUUCGAUUCCGGAGAGGGAGCCUGAGAAACGGCUACCACAUCCAAGGAAGGCAGCAGGCGCGCAAAUUACCCACUCCCGGCACGGGGAGGUAGUGACGAAAAAUAACGAUACGGGACUCAUCCGAGGCCCCGUAAUCGGAAUGAGAACACUUUAAAUCCUUUAACGAGGAUCUAUUGGAGGGCAAGUCUGGUGCCAGCAGCCGCGGUAAUUCCAGCUCCAAUAGCGUAUAUUAAAGUUGUUGCGGUUAAAAAGCUCGUAGUCGGAGGUGUGUCUCGGACGGUCGGUUCGCCGCUUGUCGGUGCUCAACUGGCCGGUCCGGACGUCCUGCCGGUGGGGCUGUAAAAGGCUCCGUUAUCCUUCUUUGGUCCUCUUCAUUGAGUGCCUUGGUGGGCCGGCACGUUUACUUUGAACAAAUUAGAGUGCUCAAAGCAGGCCGUUGGUCGCCUGAAUACUGUGUGCAUGGAAUAAUAGAAUAGGACCUCGGUUCCAUUUUGUUGGUUUUCAGAACUCGAGGUAAUGAUUAAUAGGGACGGACGGGGGCAUUCGUAUUGCGACGUUAGAGGUGAA